GACGAACGCUGGCGGCGUGCUUAACACAUGCAAGUCGAACGGAAAGGCCCUGCUUUUGUGGGGUGCUCGAGUGGCGAACGGGUGAGUAACACGUGAGUAACCUGCCCUUGACUUUGGGAUAACGUCAGGAAACUGGGGCUAAUACCGGAUAGGAGCUCCUGCUGCAUGGUGGGGGUUGGAAAGUUUCGGCGGUUGGGGAUGGACUCGUGGCUUAUCAGCUUGUUGGUGGGGUGGUGGCUUACCAAGGCUUUGACGGGUAGCCGGCCUGAGAGGGUGACCGGCCACAUUGGGACUGAGAUACGGCCCAGAGUCCUACGGGAGGCAGCAGUGGGGAAUAUUGCACAAUGGGCGGAAGCCUGAUGCAGCAACGCCGCGUGCGGGAUGACGGCCUUCGGGUUGUAAACCGCUUUCGCCUGUGACGAAGCGUGAGUGACGGUAAUGGGUAAAGAAGCACCGGCUAACUACGUG
rnacentral:rRNA from 1 species